AUCGGUAGGGGAGCGUUCUAAGGGCGUUGAAGCCAGACCGGAAGGACUGGUGGAGCGCUUAGAAGUGAGAAUGCCGGUGUGAGUAGCGAAAACAGAGGUGAGAAUCCUCUGCACCGAAAGCCUAAGGGUUCCUGAGGAAGGUUCGUCCGCUCAGGGUUAGUCGGGACCUAAGCCGAGGCCGAAAGGCGUAGGUGAUGGGCAACAGGUUGAGAUUCCUGUACCACCUCCUCACCGUUUGAGCAAUGGGGGGACGCAGGAAGGUAGGGCGAGCAGGCUGCUGGAAUAGCCUGUCCAAGCGGUUAGGCUGCCAGAUAGGCAAAUCCGUCUGGCAUAAAGGCUGAGCCGUGAUGGCGAAGGGACCAUCGGUCCCGAAGUCCCCGAUCCUACACUGCCAAGAAAAGCCUCUAGCGAGGUGAGAGGUGCCCGUACCGCAAACCGACACAGGUAGGCGAGGAGAGAAUCCUAAGGUGCGCGGGAGAACUCUCGUUAAGGAACUCGGCAAAAUGACCCCGUAACUUCGGGAGAAGGGGUGCUCGUUUGGGUGAAGAGCCCGAACGAGCCGCAGUGAAAAGGCCCAAGCGACUGUUUAUCAAAAACACAGGUCUCUGCGAAGCCGAAAGGCGACGUAUAGGGGCUGACACCUGCCCGGUGCUGGAAGGUUAAGGGGAGCGCUUAAGCCGCAAGGCUGAAGGUGCGAACCGAAGCCCCAGUAAACGGCGGCCGUAACUAUAACGGUCCUAAGGUAGCGAAAUUCCUUGUCGGGUAAGUUCCGACCCGCACGAAAGGUGUAACGACUUGGGCACUGUCUCAACGAGAGACCCGGUGAAAUCAUACUACCUGUGAAGAUGCAGGUUACCCGCGACAGGACGGAAAGACCCCGUGGAGCUUUACUGCAGCCUGAUAUUGAAUUUUGGUAUCGCUUGUACAGGAUAGGUGGGAGCCUGGGAAGCCGGAGCGCCAGCUUCGGUGGAGGCGCCGGUGGG
rnacentral:rRNA from 1 species